rnacentral:sRNA from 2 species
CGUGCGCACGCGCCGAAUCCCGUAAGGGAACCGGGGAACCACCAACUUGGGGUGAAUCGGGCGUAAUCCACCGGGCAAAACCGGUCGGAUAUACGCGCGUAGGAGACCUUCCUGCUCCGAACCCGUCAGCUAACCCGGUAGGCGAGAAGGAAGGAAAGG